rnacentral:rRNA from 1 species
AUUGAACGCUGGCGGAAUGCUUUACACAUGCAAGUCGAACGGCAGCACGGACUUCGGUCUGGUGGCGAGUGGCGAACGGGUGAGUAAUGUAUCGGAACGUGCCCAGUCGUGGGGGAUAACGUAGUGAAAAUUACGCUAAUACCGCAUACGAUCUAUGGAUGAAAGCGGGGGAUCGCAAGACCUCGCGCGAUUGGAGCGGCCGAUAUCAGAUUAGGUAGUUUGUGGGGUAAAGGCCCACCAAGCCAACGACCUGUAGCUGGUCUGAGAGGACGGCCAGACACACUGGAACUGAGACACGGUCCAGACUCCUACGGGAGGCAGCAGUGGGGAAUUUUGGACAAUGGGCGAAAGCCUGAUCCAGCCAUCCGCGUGCAGGAUGAAGGCCCUCGGGUUGUAAACUGCUUUUGUACAGAACGAAAAGGUUUCUACUAAUACUAGGAGCUCAUGACGGUACUGUAAGAAUAAGCACCGGCUAACUACGUGCCAGCCGCCGCAGUAA